rnacentral:rRNA from 1 species
GAUGAACGCUGGCGGCGUGCCUAAUACAUGCAAGUCGAGCGAACGGACGAGACGCUUGCUUCUCUGAUGUUAGCGGCGGGCGGGUGAGUCAUACGUGGAUAACCUCCCUAUAUGGCAGGAGUAUCUUAGGGAAACCGGAGUUAUGACGGGUACCAUUUUUGAACCGGUUGGUUGAAAAGAUAAGGACGGUUUUGCGGUGAGUUCUAGGUGUAUCCGCGCUGCAUUAGCUAGUUGGCAUGGUAACGGCUUGCCAAGGACACGAUGCAUAGCCGACGUGAGAGGGUGAUCGGCCACACUGGAACUGAGACAAGGUCCAGACUCCUACGGGAGGCAGCAGUAGGGAAUCUGCCGCAAUGGGCGAUAGCCUGACGUAGCAACGCCGCGUGAGUGAUGAAGGUCUGCGGAUCGUGAAACUCUGUUAUUAGGGAAGAACAUAUGUCUAAGUAACUGUGCACAUCUUGACGGUACCUAAUCAAAAAGCCACGGCUAACUACGUG